ACAGGGAUUGCCCUAGUAACGGCGAGUGAAGCGGCAACAGCUCAAAUUUGAAAUCUGGCUCUUUUAGAGUCCGAGUUGUAAUUUGCAGAGGGCGCUUUGGCUUUGGCAGCGGUCCAAGUUCCUUGGAACAGGACGUCACAGAGGGUGAGAAUCCCGUACGUGGUCGCUGGCUAUUGCCGUGUAAAGCCCCUUCGACGAGUCGAGUUGUUUGGGAAUGCAGCUCUAAAUGGGAGGUACAUUUCUUCUAAAGCUAAAUAUUGGCCAGAGACCGAUAGCGCACAAGUAGAGUGAUCGAAAGAUGAAAAGCACUUUGGAAAGAGAGUCAAACAGCACGUGAAAUUGUUGAAAGGGAAGCGCUUGCAGCCAGACUUGCUUGCAGUUGCUCAUCCGGGCUUUUGCCCGGUGCACUCUUCUGCAGGCAGGCCAGCAUCAGUUUGGGCGGUAAGAUAAAGGUCUCUGUCACGUACCUCUCUUCGGGGAGGCCUUAUAGGGGAGACGACAUAUUACCAGCCUGGACUGAGGUCCGCGCAUCUGCUAGGAUGCUGGCGUAAUGGCUGUAAGCGGCCCGUCUUGAAACACGGACCAAGGAGUCUAACAUCUAUGCGAGUGUUUGGGUGUCAAGCCCGAGCGCGUAAUGAAAGUGAACGGAGGUAGGAACCCGCAAGGGUGCACUAUCGACCGAUCCUGAUGUCUUCGGAAGGAUUUGAGUAAGAGCAUGGCUGUUGGGACCCGAAAGAUGGUGAACUAUGCUUGAAUAGGGUGAAGCCAGAGGAAACUCUGGUGGAGGCUCGCAGCGGUUCUGACGUGCAAAUCGAUCGUCAAAUUUGGGCAUAGGGGCGAAAGACUAAUC
rnacentral:rRNA from 1 species